rnacentral:pre_miRNA from 1 species
AGUGGAAUUGCUGGGUCAUAUGGUAACUUUAACAUUUUGAAGAACUACCAAAAUGUUUUCCAAAGCAACUGCAUCAUUUUAUAUUCCUACCAGCAGU